AUUUACAGUAGUCUUAUAGCCUGAGAGCGCGUCUGAUCCCAGAAAGUAAGCAGGGAGAGGCCUGGUUAGUACUUGGACGCGAGACCAUCUGGGAAUACCAGGCACUGCGAGCU
ensembl:rRNA 5S_rRNA 5S ribosomal RNA